AUGGUGUCCCCAAGCACCCCGCCAUGUCCCCAGGCACCCCAUUGCCACCACCAUGGGCACCCUAUGGUGUCCCCAGGCACCCCACCAUGUCCCCAGGCACCGCAUGGUGUCCCCAGGCACCCCAUGGCCACCACCAUGGGCGCCCUAUGGUGUCCCCAGGCACCCCACCAUGUCCCCAGGCACCUCACCGUGUCCCCAGGCACCCCAUGGCCACCACCGUGGGCACCCCGCCGUGUCCCCAAGCACCCCGCCAUGUCCCCAGGCACCCCGUGGUGUCCCCAGGCACCCCAUGGCCACCACCAUGGGCACCCCAUGGUGUCCCCAGGCACCCCACCAUGUCCCCAGGCACCCCAUGGCCACCACCAUGGGCACCCCACGGUGUCCCCAGGCACCCUAUGGCCACCACCAUGGAUGUCCCAACAUGUCCCCGGGUGUCCCAACACGUCCCCAGGCACCUUGCCCUAUCCUCAGGCACCCCAUGACCACCACCAUGGGUGGCCCACGGUGUCCCCAGGCUCACCAUGGGUGUCCCAACAUGUCCCCAAGCACCCCACGGUGUCCCCAGGCACCCCGCCAUGUCCCCAGGCACCCCAUGGCUACCCCCACAGGUGUCCCAACAUGUCCCCAAGCACCCCGCCAUGUCCCCUGGCAUCCCAUGGUGUCCCCAGACACCCCAUGGCUACCACCAUGGGUGUCCCAACACAUCCCCAGGCACCCCACCAUGUCCCUAAGUACCCCACCAUGUCCCCCGGCACCCCACGGCCACCCCACCAAGACCCCAAGCACCCCGGGGGAUGCUCCAUGAGGCUGGGUCCAGGGUUGCGGGGCUGGCUUUGGGGUUGGGGCUGGUGUCGGGGCUGGGGGCAGGGUCCGGGUUUAGGGGCAAGGUCCGGGUUUGGGGUCGGGGGCCAGGUUUGGGGGCAGGGUAUUGGAUUUAGGGUCAAGACUUUGGGUUUAGGGGGGUCAAGACUUUGGGUUUGGGGGUCAAGACUGGGUUUAGGGUCAAGACUUUGGGUUUGGGGUCACGACUUUGGGAUUAGGGUCAAGACUUUGGGUUUAGGGUCAAGACUUUGGGUUUAG
rnacentral:lncRNA from 1 species